rnacentral:sRNA from 2 species
AGAGAGUUAAUUCCUAAUGAGGAUCUCAACAGUAGCGCACGGCUCUUUAGUUAGAGCCAUUUCCCUGGACCCAGAACAAUCGGAAUAGUUUUGGGUCUUUUUUU